AAUAGCCUUCUCAAUCCUUCCCACAAUCCUGUAAGGUUGAUACUAUUUUUAUUUUGUCUCCAUUUUCCAGAGGAAUAAACUGAGAUUCAGAGAAGUGAUUUACCCAAAAACUAAAACAGAAUUCAAACCCAGGUCCCUUCUGGACUGGAAAUGAGAACCAAAGAAGUGUUGAGACAUUUUCCCAAGAUCACAGUGACAGAGAUCUAAGAACUCAAGUUCCAAAGACCCUUAGGCUACCUUCCUUUGUGAAUUGACCAUAAAUAUCCUGACACCAUUGAAAGAGAGCAAAACAGAACACAUGUUACUCUAUUCAAAGCCC
rnacentral:lncRNA from 1 species